rnacentral:rRNA from 1 species
AUUGAACGCUGGCGGCAUGCUUUACACAUGCAAGUCGGACGAGUGGCGAACGGGUGAGUAAUAUAUCGGAACCUACCGCGUAAUGGGGGAUAACUAAUAGAAAGAUUAGCUAAUACCGCAUAUUAUUCGACUGGCCGAUAUCUGAUUAGCUAGUUGGUGGGGUAAAGGCCAACCAAGGCGACGAUCACUAGCGGGUCUGAGAGGAUGAUCCGACACACUGGGACUGAGACACGGCCCAGACUCCUACGGGAGGCCGCAGUGGGGAAUUUUGGACAAUGGGCGCAAGCCUGAUGCAGCCAUGCCGCGUGUCUGAAGAAGGCCUUCGGGUUGUAAAGUACUUUUGUCAGGGAAGCGGUACCUGAAGAAUAAGCACCGGCUAACUACGUGCCAGCAGCCGCGGUAAUAC